rnacentral:rRNA from 1 species
GAGUUUGAUCAUGGCUCAGAACGAACGCUGGCGGCGUGCCUAACACAUGCAAGUCGUACGAGAAAGUUCGCUUCGGCGGAUGAGUAAAGUGGCGCACGGGUGAGUAACGCGUGGAUAAUCUGCCCUUUAGUUUAGGAUAACUCACCGAAAGGUGAACUAAUACUGAAUAAUACUGUUUCUGCUAAGGUGGAUUAGUUAAAGAGGACCUCUGUUUACAAGUUCUUGCUAAAGGAUGAGUCCGCGUACCAUUAGCUAGUUGGUAGGGUAAUGGCCUACCAAGGCGACGAUGGUUAGCUGGUCCGAGAGGGAUUUUGCGCAAUGGGGGAAACUCUGACGCAGCAACGCCGCGUGAGUGAGGAAGGCCUUCGGGUCGUAAAGCUCUGUCAGAUGGGAAGAAAUGCGGGGGUGUUAAUAGCUUUCCCGCUUGACGGUACCAUCAAAGGAAGCACCGGCUAACUCCGUGCCAGCAGCCGCGGUAAUACGC